ACAGCUUCUGAUCCUCGGCCACGGACAACUCUUUGUGGUGAUUAUUUCUACAAUUAUUUCACUCGUGGCUUGGACAUAUUAUUUGAUGGGCAGACUCAUAAAAUCAAGAAGUUUGUUUUGCAUACCAACUAUCCAGGGCAUGCAGAUUUUAAUUCAUACAUAAAGUGCAAUUUUGCUAUCUAUAGUUCUGAUUUUGGUGGGUCUUUUCAUGAGGAAGUAAAUGCCUCUAAGCGCUGCAUUACACCCAGCACAAAAUGGGAGCAAGUGAAGGUGAAUUUGUUUUACUGCCAUUAGUGAUUGUACUAUGUUUUCUGUAGAGGAAGUUUCAACCUUCAAAAUAUCAAAAUAGAUUA